GAAACACGGACCAAGGAGUUCAACUGGAUUGCGAGUCGUAGAGUUUAUCACAAAGCUCCAACGGCAUAGCGAAAGCAAACUCGUGCCAAAUGCUUACUCUCUAUAUUGUGAGUAUUGCAGCACAGGCUGAUUACGGAUAUGCGUAGAGCUUUGCUGUGUGUAUACUUUCAUCCUUCUGCGAUGAAAGACUAAUCAAGCUAUAGAGCACUUUAGUUGAGACCCGAAAGAUGGUGAACUAUGCUCGGACAUGGUGAAGCCAGGUGAAAACUUGGUGGAAGCUUGCGUUGUGCGGAACUGACGUGCAAAUCGUUGCCGCCUGACCUGAGUAUAGGGGCGAAAGACUCAUCGAACCAUCUAGUAGCUGGUUCCCUCCGAAGUUUCCCUCAGGAUAGCUCGAAUUUAUUAUUUUAACUCUGUAUCAUAAAGAGUAACACAAGGGUAAAGCAAUGAGACGCGGUAUCUGUGGGUCUUAUUUAAAUGACCUCGGCCUUCUCUCAAACUUUAAAUCUGUGCGAAUACGUAUGCUUGCUUAGAAUACGUGCUCUGUCACGUAGCGAAGUUACGUUUAUUGUAUCUAAAAUUCGUAGUGGGCCAUUUCUGGUAAGCAGAACUGGCGAUGAGGGAUUCAACCUGACGUUCUCAAGAUAAGCCGGGCUUAAUCAUAUCUGCUCCAACCUUCCGAUAAACGCGA
rnacentral:rRNA from 1 species